AUUGAGUGAAGUCAUUUUCUUCUCCUUGGUUGUGUUGGUUGAUUGCCUUCUUCUUAGUGCCACAUGGAGUGUGUCAAGUGUCUUCGCAUUUCACAGGGGAGACUGAAUGAAAGCUGCAGGAGUAUCAUGAAGAGCUCACUCAUUGAGUCAGCUGAACAACCGUUUUUGUUCUGUGUAUCAAAUCACCAGUGUCUGACCCCCUUUAAAUCAAACCUGUACCCAGUCUCUUGUAACCAGGUGUAUUCUUUACCCACUGAGCCACCUGGGAAGCAACAACAAACAUUUCAACCUUGGAAAAGAGAAGAUAUGCUUAAAUUACACCUGCUUGUAUGUUCUCAGUGUGUCUGAAACUAUAGUUGUCAAUUUAUUAUGUUGAGGUCUAAUUAGUCGUCAAUAAUUUAAAAAAUACUAUAUUACAUUAAGACUAUGGUACAGUUCUCAGAAAAGGGCCACUUGGGAAGGCCAUAAGCAGCUGAAGGAAAUCCGUUCUAAUGAAUUGGUAUUCCAUAGCAGUUAUUGUUUAGGUACACACUGUAACACUUGUUCAGUGUUUGUUUUUUUUUUUUUUUUAAUGGUUUGAGCAUAGCUCCUUAAUUCAGUUUAGGAGUAAGAUCUUAAAUGCCCAUUCUUAUCUGGAGUCUUUUUGUUACCUUUCACAAAUCAAUCUGCCUUUUGCUCACUCUGUGAUCUAACUCCAUCAUUUAAGUCAUUCCUAUUUUAUCUUUUUGUUUCUCAAGGAGUUAUUUCAGUUUUGAGGAGUUAUAUUAGGGCCAGGAUUGCAGCAGGAUUUUGCUUUUGAAAUAUAUAAUAAUAUGAAUAAUUUUGUGAUACAUUAGUGUUCAGAUUACUUUGGGAAGAUUUGUGUCGCUAAACGUAAUAAAAAU
rnacentral:lncRNA from 1 species